rnacentral:tRNA from 2 species
GCUCCCGUAGCUCAGUUGGAUAGAGCGCAAGCUUGCGGAGCUUGAGGCCACAGGUUCGAAUCCUGUCGAGAGCACAA